rnacentral:rRNA from 1 species
CACGGGGGGAGCAAGCGUUGUUCGGAAUCACUGGGCGUAAAGGGCGUGUAGGCGGUCAAGUAAGUGGAAUGUGAAAGCCCCCGGCUUACCCGGGGAUCUGCAUCCCAAACUGCUUGGCUUGAGUACGGGAGAGGAUAGGGGAAUUCCUGGUGUAGCGGUGAAAUGCGUAGAUAUCAGGAGGAACACCGGUGGCGAAGGCGGCUCUCUGGACGGUGACUGACGCUGAGACGCGAAAGCGUGGGGAGCAAACAGG